CCCCAGGGGACUUCAGUGACCCUUCUUUCAAGGAUGGAUGGAGCUAUGUCAUGUAUCUUGUGACUGAGGACCUGAGCAAACAUAAUUUCUGUGGUGCAUGCUUUGGGCUGCAUGUGCUGUGAAUGCUCAUAAGAGCAAUUGGAGAAGACCAAAGUAGUAAUUCAUAAAAAGCAUGAUAAGCUCUUGGUCUUGGUUUAAAAUAAGUAAGUCUUACCAAUGCAUUUGAAUUUGAA